ACGAACGCUGGCGGCGUGCCUAAUACAUGCAAGUCGAGCGGAAUGAUGAAGAAGCUUGCUUCUUCUGAUUUUAGCGGCGGACGGGUGAGUAACACGUGGGCAACCUACCUUGUAGAUUGGGAUAACUCCGGGAAACCGGGGCUAAUACCGAAUAAUCCAUUUUGCUUCAUGGCGAGAUGUUAAAAGGCGGCUUCGGCUGUCACUACGAGAUGGGCCCGCGGCGCAUUAGCUAGUUGGUAGGGUAAUGGCCUACCAAGGCGACGAUGCGUAGCCGACCUGAGAGGGUGAUCGGCCACACUGGGACUGAGACACGGCCCAGACUCCUACGGGAGGCAGCAGUGGGGAAUCUUAGACAAUGGGCGCAAGUCUGAUGGAGCAACGCCGCGUGAGUGAAGAAGGUUUUCGGAUCGUAAAACUCUGUUGUAAGGGAAGAACACGUACGAGAGUAACUGCUCGUACCUUGACGGUACCUUAUUAGAAAGCCACGGCUAACUACGUG
rnacentral:rRNA from 1 species